rnacentral:lncRNA from 1 species
CAUCAUAUAAGUCGCGAAUUCAUACAAAGCAUUAAGCACAAAGAACGAUCAAUAGAAACUAACUUCGUAAUUCAUUAAUCAUAUCAUAUGACAAUCACAUAGUUCAAGAUCAAAAGUAAUUAGAAUCACCUAAGGACCAAUCAUGAGAAUUUAGCUAGACAUUGCANNNNNNNNNNNNNNNNNNNNNNNUUAAAAUGAAAGAAAGCAUCAUUACAAGAAGAAUCUUGAUGUGUUUCCACACUUGAAUCCUUGCUUGGUCGCUCUUGAUCCUCCAAAAUCGCUCCAAAUGCUGUUCUCAGUGUCAAAAAUCCGAUCCCGAUCCAGAUCUAAUGUUUCCCUUUUAUAAAAAUGAUCGAAAGUAACGUUUUCCGCCUGAGGCACAGAAUUUCCGCCCCAGGCGUAAGAAAUUACGUUUCAGGCACAAGCUUUUCCGCCUGAAACGGCAAAACAGUGAGCAAUCUUGGUUCUUCAGUGAAAUUUCCG